UCAAGCAACCUUAGAGGCGAUGGUGACACGGAGAUGGUUUGGGAGAGACAAGUUGAAGGAGUGCAUACAAAAGCCCUAUUCGCACAGGACUAGUAUUACCUGGGGACCCCAUGUGAUUUAGAAAUUACCCCCCCCCCACGUCUGUUUCGUGCGGCGCAUUCGCACGGGAUAAGCGAAGUCUGUAUUUUACUCGAAUUUGACAUUAUUCCCCCGGAUAUUACUGAAAAUGACAAGUCUCGGCUCUGCGUAACAUCCGCUUCCUGUACACUAUUUUCCUCUGCGACGAACAACAAGAGCAAUGGCUGCUAAGACAAAAAACAGGCAUUGGACGCGCGAAGAGACACUCAAUUUAAUUGCUGUGUGGGGUGAACCACGUUACCAAAAACGAUUUGACAAAAUAGUGCACAACCACCCCGUUUGGGAAAAUAUUCACAAAGACCUCUUGCUCCGGUGCCCGUCUGUACAGGACUUCGGAGAUUGGACCAAGUGUAGAGAAAAGUUGGACUACCUGUGAAGAAAGUACUGUGACAGCCUCAAAAACAAUAAGACGACCGGAUCAGACCCCAUUAAGUGUCCUUAUUGAUUAACUGGACACUGUUCUAGGUUCAUCUGGGAGCCCAGAGGCUCUGUCAAACACCUCAAGGUAAAAUGAUGCAGAUGAUGCAUCCAGUCAAGGCUCGGGCUCCAAAGCACCUUCUACACCUGCUGCUGAACCAAGGCCAGAAGGUGGGCUCUCAUGAUUAAUAAUGUUCUUGUCAAUUCAGUAAGAAUCAGUUUAUAAAGGAGAACACCUGGCAUUGUCCCUGCACAAGGUCACGGAGGUCAUGCCCUCACAAAUAUAUUGCGAAGUGGCACCUGUUUCAGGAAAAUCCAGAUAUCUUCAAGCGGGUGAGAUGGACAGAGGCAGUGUUGCACACAGAGGAUGUAGUAACCGCAGCUCUGGACAGCAGGAAGAGUGAUCAAACAAUCUAUCCUCCCAAAGGUGAGAUGAUGAAAAGAAUGGUGGAAUAUACAUUCAACCACAAGAAGCUGCCGGCAACAUUAUCCAAGGAACUUGGGAGGCAGAUUAAUGAUUACCCGAAAUCCUUGAUUCCUCCUGAGGCCCUGUGCUCAGUCUGACCUGGAACAGUGCCCCUGAGUGACCCCAUUCUCAUAACUUCCAAAGCCAAAAUUGUGACUAUUGAUGCCAUUAUUGAAGACAGUCAUCCAGAUCUUGCAGAAGCUGGAGGGGUUCCGCAGGUUCCGGGCUGGAGUGAUUGUAGGUUUACAAUAGGCCUACAUACUGAAGAUAAUAUAAAAAUAGGGUCUAGGUUGAAAAUAACCAGUAAUAAUUUAAAACGGCUAAGAAUCGUCUAGUUAAAUGUCAAAUGAUGUUUAGUUAACCUUAGAAUAUUCAACACAGUCAUCUUUGUUCUGCAGGGGUUUUUGUGAUACAGUGGUUGCAGCAGCUUCCCCCCCAGAAUGUCUGAAUCAGCUUGAUUCAAUAAACUUUUAUAACACUUUUACCCUUUUGUCCUUUUACAUUA